UGGGGAAUUUUGGACAAUGGGGGCAACCCUGAUCCAGCCAUGCCGCGUGCGGGAAGAAGGCCUUCGGGUUGUAAACCGCUUCGGCCGGGACGAAAUUGGCGGGAUGAAUAGUCUCGCUGGAUGACGGUACCGGAAGAAGAAGCACCGGCUAACUACGUGCCAGCAGCCGCGGUAAUACGUAGGGUGCGAGCGUUAAUCGGAAUUACUGGGCGUAAAGCGUGCGCAGGCGGCCGCGUAAGCCAGAGGUGAAAUCCCCGGGCUCAACCUGGGAAUGGCCUUUGGGACUGUGUGGCUGGAGUGCGGCAGAGGGGGGUGGAAUUCCUGGUGUAGCAGUGAAAUGCGUAGAGAUCAGGAGGAACACCGAUGGCGAAGGCAGCCCCCUGGGCCAGCACUGACGCUCAGGCACGAAAGCGUGGGGAGCAAACAGGAUUAGAUACCCUGGUAGUCCACGCCCUAAACGAUGACGACUAGUUGUUGGGGGAGUCUAUCCCUUAGUAACGUAGCUAACGCGUGAAGUCGUCCGCCUGGGGAGUACGGUCGCAAGAUUA
rnacentral:rRNA from 1 species